ACUAAUUUGGCAGAAAAAUUGUAUCAAAUUUAGAAUUUGAAUAGGGAUGAAAUCCAGUUAGUA
rnacentral:tRNA from 1 species